GACAGAGGGUGCAAACGUUUGUUCGGAAUUACUGGGCGUAAAGCGUGUGUAGGCGGCUUUGCAAGUCGGAUGUGAAAGCCCCGGGCUCAACCCGGGAAGUGCACUCGAUACUGCAGAGCUUGAGUAUCGGAGAGGUUGGUGGAAUUCUCGGUGUAGAGGUGAAAUUCGUAGAUAUCGAGAGGAACACCGGUGGCGAAGGCGGCCAACUGGACGAAUACUGACGCUGAGACACGAAAGCGUGGGGAGCAAACAGG
rnacentral:rRNA from 1 species